CCUAGCUUGCUGGGUGGAUUAGUGGCGAACGGGUGAGUAACACGUGAGUAACCUGCCCUUGACUCUGGGAUAAGCCUGGGAAACUGGGUCUAAUACCGGAUACGACCAUUGCCCGCAUGGGUUGGUGGUGGAAAGCUUUUGUGGUUUUGGAUGGACUCGCGGCCUAUCAGCUUGUUGGUGAGGUAAUGGCUCACCAAGGCGACGACGGGUAGCCGGCCUGAGAGGGUGACCGGCCACACUGGGACUGAGACACGGCCCAGACUCCUACGGGAGGCAGCAGUGGGGAAUAUUGCACAAUGGGCGAAAGCCUGAUGCAGCGACGCCGCGUGAGGGAUGACGGCCUUCGGGUUGUAAACCUCUUUCAGUAGGGAAGAAGCGAAAGUGACGGUACCUGCAGAAGAAGCGCCGGCUAACUACGUGCCAGCAGCCGCGGUAAUACGUAGGGCGCAAGCGUUAUCCGGAAUUAUUGGGCGUAAAGAGCUCGUAGGCGGUUUGUCGCGUCUGCUGUGAAAGGCCAGGGCUCAACCCUGGUUCUGCAGUGGGUACGGGCAGACUUGAGUGAUGUAGGGGAGACUGGAAUUCCUGGUGUAGCGGUGCAAUGCGCAGAUAUCAGGAGGAACACCGAUGG
rnacentral:rRNA from 1 species